UACGUAGGGUGCAAGCGUUAAUCGGAAUUACUGGGCGUAAAGAGUGCGUAGGCGGUUCUUGAAGUCCGCUGUGAAAGCCCCGGGCUUAACCUGGGAAUGGCAGUGGAAACUGGAGGACUUGAAUUGAGCAGAGGGGGGUGGAAUGCCGCGUGUAGCAGUGAAAUGCGUAGAUAUGCGGAGGAACACCGAUGGCGAAGGCAAUCCCCUGGGCCUGUACUGACGCUCAUGCACGAAAGCGUGGGGAGCAAACAGG
rnacentral:rRNA from 1 species